UAAGGGGUGCUGCCAGAAAGGGCGGCUGAGAUGAUACCCUAAGACCUGAUCCGGGUAAUGCCGGCGUAGGGAUAAGGUUACAUA
rnacentral:ncRNA from 1 species